UACGGGGGGAGCAAGCGUUGUUCGGAUUUACUGGGCGUAAAGGGCGCGUAGGCGGCCAGCACAAGUCAGUUGUGAAAUCUCCGGGCCUAACUCGGAAAGGUCAACUGAUACUGUGCGGCUAGAGUGCAGAAGGGGCAACUGGAAUUCUCGGUGUAGCGGUGAAAUGCGUAGAUAUCGAGAGGAACACCUGCGGCGAAGGCGGGUUGCUGGGCUGACACUGACGCUGAUGCGCGAAAGCGUGGGGAGCGAACCGG
rnacentral:rRNA from 1 species